rnacentral:tRNA from 13 species
UGACUCGUACGGGAUUUGAACCCGGGUUAACACCGUGAAAAGGUGGUGUCCUAGCCACUAGACGAAAGAGUC